rnacentral:ribozyme from 14 species
AUGAAAACAAAAACAAAAUCCAACAUAAUCGUUCACCUAUCUAUUUUUUUGCUUUGUAUAGAGAUGAUACUCUCUUUGUCAAUUCUUCUAUCUUUUGCUUUGAUUCCUUUUCACCAC